AUACGUAGGGAGCGAGCGUUGUCCGGAUUUACUGGGUGUAAAGGGUGCGUAGGCGGCUCUGCAAGUCAGGUGUGAAAACCAUCGGCUUAACUGAUGGACUGCAUUUGAAACUGUGGGGCUUGAGUGGAGUAGAGGCAGACGGAAUUCCCGGUGUAGCGGUGAAAUGCGUAGAGAUCGGGAAGAACACCAGUGGCGAAGGCGGUCUGCUGGGCUCUAACUGACGCUGAGGCACGAAAGCAUGGGUAGCAAACAGGGUUGGAUACCCUGGUAGUCCAUGCCGUAAACGGUGAUGACUAGGUGUGGGGAGUCUGACCCUCUCCGUGCCGGAGUUAACGCAAUAAGUAAUCCGCCUGGGAAGUACGACCGCAAGGUUGAA
rnacentral:rRNA from 1 species